rnacentral:rRNA from 1 species
UACAGAGGUCCCAAGCGUUGUUCGGAUCCACUGGGCGUAAAGGGUGCGUAGGUGGCGGGGUAAGUUUGAUGUGAAAUCUCCGAGCUCAACUCGGAAACUGCAUUGAAUACUAUUCUGCUAGAGGGUUGGAGGGGAGACUGGAAUUCUCGGUGUAGCAGUGAAAUGCGUAGAUAUCGAGAGGAACACCAGUGGCGAAGGCGAGUCUCUGGACAACUCCUGACACUGAGGCACGAAAGCUAGGGGAGCAAACGGG